UACGGGGGGGGCAAGCGUUGUUCGGAAUUACUGGGCGUAAAGGGCUCGUAGGUGGCCAACUAAGUCAGACGUGAAAUCCCUCGGCUUAACCGGGGAACUGCGUCUGAUACUGGAUGGCUUGAGUUUGGGAGAGGGACGCGGUAUUCCAGGUGUAGCGGUGAAAUGCGUAGAUAUCGAGAGGAACACCAGUGGCGAAGGCGAGUCCCUGGACAAAACCUGACACUGAGGCACGAAAGCUAGGGGAGCAAACAGG
rnacentral:rRNA from 1 species